rnacentral:sRNA from 1 species
UAAUAGCCCCGAUGGAAGUAAAAAUCCUUUUAUUUCGUUAAAAGUAACGAAAUAAAAGAAUUGCAACGUACAGCGGGAAUAUGG